UACAGAGGGGGCAAGCGUUGUUCGGAAUUACUGGGCGUAAAGGGCUCGUAGGCGGCCAACUAAGUCGGAUGUGAAAUCCCCAGGCUCAACUUGGGAACUGCAUCCGAUACUGGAUGGCUUGAAUCCGGGAGAGGGAUGCAGAAUUCCAGGUGUAGCGGUGAAAUGCGUAGAUAUCUGGAGGAAUACCGGUGGCGAAGGCGGCAUCCUGGACCGGCAUUGACGCUGAUGAGCGAAAGCUAGGGGAGCAAACGGG
rnacentral:rRNA from 1 species